rnacentral:rRNA from 1 species
UACGGGGGGGAGCAAGCGUUGUUCGGAUUUACUGGGCGUAAAGGGCGCGUAGGCGGUCAGCACAAGUCAGUUGUGAAAUCUCCGGGCUUAACUCGGAAAGGUCAACUGAUACUGUGCGACUAGAGUGCAGAAGGGGCAACUGGAAUUCUCGGUGUAGCGGUGAAAUGCGUAGAUAUCGAGAGGAACACCUGCGGCGAAGGCGGGUUGCUGGGCUGACACUGACGCUGAUGCGCGAAAGCGUGGGGAGCGAACAGG